ACGGGUGAGUAAUAUAUCGGAACGUGCCCAGUUGUGGGGGAUAGCCCGGCGAAAGCCGGAUUAAUACCGCAUACGACCUGAGGGUGAAAGCGGGGGAUCGCAAGACCUCGCGCAAUUGGAGCGGCCGAUAUCAGAUUAGCUAGUUGGUGGGGUAAAGGCCUACCAAGGCGACGAUCUGUAGCUGGUCUGAGAGGACGACCAGCCACACUGGGACUGAGACACGGCCCAGACUCCUACGGGAGGCAGCAGUGGGGAAUUUUGGACAAUGGGCGCAAGCCUGAUCCAGCCAUGCCGCGUGCGGGAAGAAGGCCUUCGGGUUGUAAACCGCUUUUGUCAGGGAAGAAACGGUCUGAACUAAUACUUUGGACUAAUGACGGUACCUGAAGAAUAAGCACCGGCUAACUACGUGCCAGCAGCCGCGGUAAUACGUAGGGUGCAAGCGUUAAUCGGAAUUACUGGGCGUAAAGCGUGCGCAGGCGGCUAUGCAAGACAGAUGUGAAAUCCCCGGGCUCAACCUGGGAACUGCAUUUGUGACUGCAUGGCUAGAGUACGGUAGAGGGGGAUGGAAUUCCGCGUGUAGCAG
rnacentral:rRNA from 1 species